rnacentral:rRNA from 1 species
GACGAACGCUGGCGGCGUGCUUAACACAUGCAAGUCGAACAGAAAGGCCCUGCUUUUGUGGGGUGCUCGAGUGGCGGACGGGUGAGUAACACGUGAGUAACCUGCCCUUGACUUUGGGAUAACUUCAGGAAACUGGGGCUAAUACCGGAUAGGAGCUCCUGCUGCAUGGUGGGGGUUGGAAAGUUUCGGCGGUUGGGGAUGGACUCGCGGCUUAUCAGCUUGUUGGUGGGGUAGUGGCUUACCAAGGCUUUGACGGGUAGCCGGCCUGAGAGGGUGACCGGCCACAUUGGGACUGAGAUACGGCCCAGACUCCUACGGGAGGCAGCAGUGGGGAAUAUUGCACAAUGGGCGGAAGCCUGAUGCAGCAACGCCGCGUGCGGGAUGACGGCCUUCGGGUUGUAAACCGCUUUCGCCUGUGACGAAGCGUGAGUGACGGUAAUGGGUAAAGAAGCACCGGCUAACUACGUG